UUCGGAUUGCAGUCUGCAACUCGACUGCAUGAAGCUGGAAUCGCUAGUAAUCGCGAAUCAGAAUGUCGCGGUGAAUACGUUCCCAGGCCUUGUACACACCGCCCGUCACACCAUGGGAGUUGGAAGCACCCGAAGUCGGUGACCUGACCGAAAGGGAGGAGCCGCCGAAGGUGAAGCCAGCGACUGGGGUGAAGUCGUAACAAGGUACC
rnacentral:rRNA from 1 species